rnacentral:rRNA from 1 species
UACGUAGGGGGCUAGCGUUGUCCGGAAUCAUUGGGCGUAAAGAGCGUGUAGGCGGCCAGACAAGUCCGUUGUGAAAACUAGAGGCUUAACCUCUAGACGUCGAUGGAAACUGUUUGGCUAGAGUCCGGAAGAGGAGAAUGGAAUUCCUGGUGUAGCGGCGAAAUGCGCAGAUAUCAGGAAGAACACCCGUGGCUAAGGCGGUUCUCUAGUACGGUACUGACGCUGAGACGCGAAAGCGUGGGGAGCGAACAGG